UUGGCACAAUUUUACACUAACACAGACUGCAGAAGUGGUUUGCUUAUGGGAAAAAACACCAAAGGGCUUUCUUUUAAGUUUAUAAUAAAUGCUGUAGCCCAAUCUACUACGGUUUAUACCACCACCACUACCACCACUCGAGCCCAGCCACCAGUUAUGCUUACCCCGAAAAUUUUUGAAGUUGGACCAUAUAUAAUCAGGAAAACUGGCCAACAACAGAUAUUAUUUAAUCCAGCAUGGUCUCUUAAACAAGUCAAAUUGCUGAUGCAAAACAAUGUCUCAGAAAUACAACCAGCUUGUUCACCCUUUUUGCAAACCUCUUUUCAGGGUUGGACAACCUGGCUGCGACAGUGGAACCCUCCUAAAAACCGGGUGCAAAGAGACAUAACUGGUGUCGUGGGAACGGGACUGGGCAUCCUAAAUAGUAUUGAUUCAGAAGUAUUAAUGAAUAAAUUGGCCUCCACGACUAAAGAUUUAACCAAAAUACAGCAGCCACUGCAAUCGUCCUUAUCGGCCUUGGGAACACAUCAGUGGUUGCUAUCAAACAUUCUACCAAAUUGGGAAAAGAUAAAUGUAAAUGAUAGCAAAUUGAUAAUUGAUGCACUUAAUGCCACACAAAGCAACGUUUCCUUAGCUCUUAGCUGUAUCCAGGCUCAAUUAUGGAUGCAGUCAGUUGCUGCCUCAAUUAUAAGAGAAAGUGAAGAAGGCACUUUUCCUACUGAAAUUAGGAAAAUAGUCUGGGACAGUGCCACUGACUUUGAAAGAGAUUUCCAAUCCUGGUGGAAUUUAGUGAAUUUUACCUAUGACCCUAACACAAACACAGCCACAGCAUUUGUGUUGACCAUAAGUAAUGCCUCGGUGCAUUUGAUAUUCCCUAUCAUUGCACUAGGAUUAAAUCAUGAUGGAGCCACUUUCUAUCCUUCUGAACAUAGAGAAUGGGCCCGUCAAAUUAAUGACAAAUGGCAAACUGUCAAUUUAGAGUCCUGUACUAUCCGAGAACAACUAGGGUUUAUCUGUGAAGGUAAUGCAAUUAUAGCUCAAGAUAUCUGUUUAGACACAGAACAAAAUAGCUGUCAUUUUGACAUUCAUCCUAACGAGACUUCUGAAACAGUCCUUGUACAUACAGGCAAUGGGUGUGCCUGCUUUGGAACCACUUGUGAUACUGUGUUUAUAGAAAGUACAGUAGUAGAUACUAAAAAUCAUUCAAAUUUUUGUGCUUGCAACUUUACUAAAAUUGCAGGAUGUGAUUUUUCUUUUGUAGCUCCAGUUACCUUACAUGAACUUUUAGAAUCCAAUCUCACGUUGAUUCACAAGCUAUUGCCUACUCCCAUUGGGAUGAACCUUACUUUGGUAAAGCAACUAUUACUUCAUCAAGAUCUAAUAGAGAUCCUAGGAAAAAUCAAGGAGAAUGGACAGAAAACUCUGGUAACUGUUCAUCAUGAUGUGCAAGAAAUACAUCGUGUUGUAGAAAGGGUGGAAAGUGAUGCCGUGCACAGGUGGUGGGAUACCCUUUUCGGGUGGUCACCCACCGCCACCGGUAUCCUGAACAAAUUGUGCCAUCCCGUUGUGGUUCUUUUGAUUUUAGUUAUGAUUGGUUUUGUUUUAUCAGUAAUCUUGCUUAUUGUGAAUUGGAGAAUGAUGAAACGAUGAACAAAAUUGACAUCUAUAAUUAAUGCACACCACUUGGCCGACAUCCUUUACACUAUAGAUGUUCCCAGGACUGUAGACACAAGGAGAUUAUAAGUUUUUCUGUUUUCUCUUUCCUUUCCUUUUUCUCUUCUCUUUUCCCUGGGAUUGCUGCCAACACUUGACGAGUCCUGAAGACUCCAC